UACGAGUGGCCCAAACAUUAUUCGGAAUUACUGGGCUUAAAGAGUUCGUAGGCGGCAUGAAAAGUAGGGUGUGAAAGCCCUCGGCUCAACCGAGGAAUUGCGCUCUAAGCUGUCGUGCUUGAGGAAGCUAGAGGUGAGCGGAACUGAUGGUGGAGCGGUGAAAUGCGUUGAUAUCAUCAGGAACACCGGAGGCGAAGGCGGCUCACUGGGGCUUUUCUGACGCUGAGGAACGAAAGCCAGGGUAGCGAACGGG
rnacentral:rRNA from 1 species